rnacentral:tRNA from 10 species
GGACGCGUAGCUCAGCGGGAGAGCAUUCGCUUCACACGCGAAGGGUCACAGGUUCAAUCCCUGUCGCGUCCACCA